rnacentral:rRNA from 1 species
AUUGAACGCUGGCGGCAGGCCUAACACAUGCAAGUCGAACGAGUGGCGGACGGGUGAGUAAUGCCUGGGAAACCGCCUGAUGGAGGGGGAUAACUACUGGAAACGGUAGCUAAUACCGCAUACCCUCAGAUGUGCCCAGAUGGGAUUAGCUUGUGGGUGGGGUAACGGCUCACCAAGGCGAGGAUCCCUAGCUGGUCUGAGAGGAUGACCAGCCAAACUGGAACUGGGACACGGUCCAGACUCCUACGGGAGGCAGCAGUGGGGAAUAUUGCACAAGGGGCGCAAGCCUGAUGCAGCCAUGCCGCGUGUAUGAGGAAGGCCUUCGGGUUGUAAAGUACUUUCAGCGGGGAGGCGUUACCCGCAGAAGAAGCACCGGCUAACUCCGUGCCAGCCGCCGCGGUAAUUC